GCUAUUUAAGAGUUACUUAAGUUUUCCACACCUCAUCUCUUAAUUGCACUCUAAAUAUUCAAAUACAUUACCACUGACUUACAAAUAAAUUAUUUUAAAAUUUUAAUGUCAAAUAAGUAACUCGUUUCUCAGUCAUCUUCUUCCUCCUCUUCAUCUGUUUCCUCCAUUUUCUCCCGGAUAGCCUGUUGCUCCUCUAAAGCUUCUUUCAGGGUCUGUUCCUCUUCCAGUGAUGGGUCCAGGGCCUCUGUGAUUUCUGGUCCACUGGGAUAUUCUUUCUGUGGCAGUGGGGGUACAGGCGUAUGCAUACGCCCCUGGCCAGAGGUUAGAGCACAGCACAGCUUCUGCAUGCUGAGAUGUGAGCGUGGAGGACAACUUGAGACUCCAGGGUGGGGUGCCAAACAUUUCUGAGAAACACAGUGUGAGCAACUUAUGGACUCUGAACUUACUGGUUUGGCUGGAAAAUGUCCAGAGUCAAAGACUGACCUACAUCUUGGGAGAUGGGAGUCAACAUAGGGGGUCCAACCUCUGGCUCAGGUUCAUCAGGCUCUUCUUCCUUCUCAUCAGCCUCUCCCUCCUCAUUAGAUUCCUCUCCAGGUUUUAUAGCCAAGUUCACCCAAGUACAACGACCCUAAAAUAAAUUUUCACACAAUAAAUACAGACAAUACAGGCCCAAGCCUCCCCACAACCCCGAAUUGGAUAAGCAGAAGAAGAUGGAUGGAUAAAUACAGACACAUUGGGAAGCUUAAAGAACGCCCAUGCACCUUGUCUGAUCAGACUAGUACCUGUGGCAAGAUGUGUUGAGCAUGAUGCACCCAGGCAGACAAA